GUAGGAUGCAAGCGUUGUCCGGAUUUACUGGGCGUAAAGCGCGCGCAGGCGGCAUGGUAAGUAAGGUGUGAAAUCCAUCGGCUCAACCGGUGGGGUGCAUUUUAGACUGCCAAGCUUGAGGUCGGUAGAGGGGGGUGGAAUUGCUGGUGUAGCGGUGAAAUGCGUAGAGAUCAGCAGGAACACCCGUGGCGAAGGCGGCCCCCUGGGCCGUACCUGACGCUGAGGCGCGAAGGCUAGGGGAGCGAACGGGAUUAGAUACCCCGGUAGUCCUAGCAGUAAACGAUGGCCACUAGGUGUGGGGGGUGUUGACCCCUUCCGUGCCGUAGCUAACGCAUUAAGUKGCCCGCCUGGGGAGUACGGUYGCAAGAMUA
rnacentral:rRNA from 1 species